AUCUUUUGUCUGGAAAUCCCGGAUGCUGCGGUCGCCGGAACGUUGCUCCUCAGAUCUUGCCCGUGGAUUGUGCGUCCCUGAAGCUAACGUGUAGAGAGUUUUGGGCAGGAGAAUCCAGGGUCCAUCCACAACAGUUCUCUCCUUAAUCCACUCCAUUCCCUCCUCUCCCAGCUAAGCUGCCAUAGUGUGCUAUGCAUUUCCAAGACCAAGAAAAGAUGGAUAAAUCUCUGAAUUGUGCCAGAGUGCCUACAUGGAGACUACAUUACUGCGUCUACCUGAAACCAGUACUAAAACACCCCAUUCAAUGGUCGGUAUGAAACACAUCUACAAAAGGAAUUUCCUCUCCUCAAAGCCCAUUCUUGAGUAUUAGGAAAAAACAGCUGCUCUACCAGGUGACUAGAGACCAAUUUAGAGAUACUAGAAAUUUGAAAAAUAAAACUUAUGACACUACCAAGAGAAUAUAAUUUCACUGAGCGGACCGCAUAGAGCAAGAAGUCCAUGAAAUGACUGAAAAGGAAUUUCAAGUAACAAUGCCAAGGAAAGUCAGUGAGAUAGAAGAUGACUCAGAUGGCACAACAAGAUGAGAAAAAGUAUCCAGGAUCUGAAGAAGGAAAUGUACAGACCGUUGCCCUAAGAAAAGAAUGUAGGGGCCGGCCUGUGGCUC